UACGAAGGGGGCGAGCGUUAUUCGGAAUCACUGGGCGUAAAGCGUGCGUAGGCUGCCUAGAAAGUUGGGAGUGAAAGCCCCCGGCUCAACCGGGGAGGGUGGCUGCAAACUGGGCUUCUAGAGGGGGAUAGAGGAAAGUGGAAUUCCGGGUGUAGCGGUGAAAUGCGUAGAGAUCCGGAGGAACACCAGUGGCGAAGGCGGCUUUCUGGGUCCGCCCUGACGCUGAGGCGCGAAAGCGUGGGGAGCGAACGGGAUUAGAUACCCCUGUAGU
rnacentral:rRNA from 1 species